rnacentral:misc_RNA from 1 species
UAGCCAGCAAGAAUGACGCUGCAA